UGAAACAUCGCGAAGGCUCUGGUUCAACGGGAAGAUUCUUUGAUUAAACUGCGCCAAUCACAAAACAGAAUUAGUGGUUUUAGUAUUUAGUACAGAUUCUGUACUAACAGCACUAAUUCUGUUCUGUGAUUGACACGGUUUAUAAAUCAAAGAAUCUUCCUGUUGAACCAGAGCUUUUGCAAUGUUUCAAUUCAUUAUUUACUGUCAAAGGCUUUGGAAUCCAGGGUUGUGCUAUCGUAACAAAAGAGGAACAUUUGUUUUUUGAAAUGAAAUAGAACAUAUAAUUAUAUCAUUUUAAUGACUUGCUUCCGAUUUUCAGAGAGGUCUUGGAAACAUUAUUAAUUGUUGAUACUUUUGAAAUAUUCAGCAACUUGCCGAUGAAAUUUUUAUAAAAUAUUGCCAUAAAAUAUAUAACAUUCUAAGACUAAGGCUAUAUAUAUAUUGAUACUAUUGAUACUAUAGUGCUGUUCCAACGUACAAUAAUGUGAAAAAAAGAAAAGAAAAAAAGAGAUGAAAAAGUUUUUUCCCCCCGUCGAUGACACUUGUGACGUCAGGUACAUACGGGACUUUGGAGGCGGGUUUUGGCGGGAAAAUCUGUAAUGUUUGGAGAAGACAAGAUGGCGCUGGUUACCUCGUGUUAUAUCAAACGGCAUUUUUGUUCACAAAUACCCGCUUAUUUUACGUUAUAGUGACUGGUUCGUUUUGGAAAUUAUAACUCAAUGGACGGGGAAAAUGAUUCUGUAUUAAAGAGAAAAUGAUGUGCAGUUAUUGUGAUGUUAUUUGUUGUGAAAGACGGCCCGAAAUUUCGCUACUUCGCAGUACUGGUUUAUAAAACAUUUACAAGCAACAGCAAUUGAACUAUAUGAUAAAGAAACCAAUGUAUACAAGCCAAUCAAGUUCUUCAGUUUAAAGGUCUGUUUACUCUUUAAUAAUUAGUUCAUUUAGUUGUACAUUAAUACGAAGUACUGGAACAGUACGCCUAGUCACAGAAUAGGAAGGUAUACCCAUUGUCCAUUGAACUAAAAAUAAACAGAAGCAGUCCCCCUCCUGGAAAUACUAAAAAAGGCGUAUGUCCAGGGCAUAGAUGAUUGAUCAUACCAGAUGUCUCACUGUGUAUAUACCUCUAUGAUUUUUGUGUCCGCGAUUUUCGCAAGGCUAUCACGCCAGAUGACGCGUGCGACACUUACUGCCAAAAUGGCGCUUACUGCCAAAAUGCGUGAUUGGUCACGUUUCAUGGCGUGGAUCAACCUCGUCCCCAGGGUCUUCUUCGUGCAUGGCGCGUGAAAAAUGAGAAGACCCUGGUAAAGGCUGUGAAAAUCUCCACGAUUCAUGGACAUUUUAGUGCAUGCGCAAAAGCGAAUUUGCCUUGGCGCUGACCAAUUCAUUGCUGGCGUCCAAAUUUUUCAUGGCCUUCUUGAGAUGAAAUAUUUCACUUUGGAAAUGUAUUUUUUUGCUAAAAUAUACCUCUAGAUAAGUAAUUUCUCUUCAAAAAUUAAGAUGUCUAGAGAGAGAAAGUAACAAGAAGCUAGCACGUCUAAUUUUUAUCUCCCUGGCCGAAGAAUUCGCGUUGUUUGUCAUGUCUCACGGCUGCUUGCACUGGCAGUCUGACAACACUGUCACUGUGAAGGUAAUUGAAAAACUACAAUAUAUUAUUGUUAUUUAUAUUAUAAUUCAACAUAUAAUGGCCCUAUGACUGGUGCUAAUAUGCCUACAAAGUAUUUUUUUAAAGCGCUUAGUUUUGAGAAAUUAUAAUUUGAUAAUGAAAAUUUACUAGUGGGCCAUAGACUCAUAUCCAUUUUACACUGUGAACGUUGGCACUUGUUUAAGUUAUUUUGACUAAAAAUUAUCGCAUGUUAAUAAAUACUCAAGUAUAUAAUAAUACUGUAAUUUAUAGUUUAUUCCCUUGGAGCAUGCAAAGUGCCUACAUGUGGAAUAAUUUGCCUUAGAUCCACAGCUCUCAUACAGAUUAGAACUCCCAUAAAUUCUUUUACACAUCCUAGUACAUUUUACCAUUCUAAAAGUGCAUUUCUCCAUCCCCUUUCAGACAGCAGAAAUUUCAUUUGUAUUGUGAGUUUAUAUUGUGCACUGAAUGGUGAAUCAGUAAAACUAAAAGAUUGCCAACCAGUUUAGAGAUAGUUUUGUUCAAAUGUAACUUAUGUAAGUAUGUUUCUCUCUCAAUUAGAAAUAAAUCUACUGUUAAUAAAUUAAUUGGAUAGAUUUAGUGUAACAUAUAGAUUUAGGUUUCCAGUUUGUGAAAUGAAAUGCAAAUCAAUUGUAUUAUAUUUUAGAUAUUCAUGCUUCUCAAAUUUCAAUAUGGAUAAAACAAGAACUGUCAAGAAGACUGCAACUGUAUAUGUACAACUUAAUGGGGAUGGGAAUGCUGUUAGUCUUCGCAUCUAGGAAUGUUGCUAAUAUGAGAUUAUUAAGAAAACCGCAAAGUCAACAACUAUCCUAGAUUCCAUAAUAUUAGGAAGCUGGCUCAACUAUACUUAAUAUUCUGGUAAUACUCAAGAAAGUGACAUGGCAAUUCAACAAUGCAUAUACAACAGAACAAGAUAUUUCCAUACCAAGACAAUUCUUACUGAAUUAGUAUUUAGCUGAUAUUUCAUUUUUUACAGUAUUUAAAGUUAUAUACAGUGCUGUUUUAAGUUAAAUACCAAAGUUACUUGGUUCAAAAUCUGGUCUUUGUUUUUCCUUCUCUGUACUGUGCAAGGGUAAAGAAAAGAGGUGGUAAUAUGCAUCCUCACAUGCGGCUGAUAGGAACUCUCACUCAUAUGGAAAAUGAAUUGGGUCGUUCCAGAAAAGAUCCAUACUCCCCGAUGGAGGAAAUUUCUGCCGUCUGGAGGGGGAGGGGAGAAAAAAUUGUUUCUGAUAAUAGUAAAUGUAUUAGGACAUCUGAAGGGGGUUAACUUCCUAUUUCCUCUGUGGGGGUGGUAUGGAUGUUUUCUGGAAUGACCCAUUCUCAUAAAGUAAGCCUUGGAGCUUUUUUGAAAUCGAUUUCAUUCAUGCUUCAACAACCGAUCCCCUGCAUGUACAUCAUUGCAAAAUGUGCAGCCAGCCUGCAAUGUCCAAACCACAGUUGUCCACAACAUUUGUUCUCAUUGAGCUGUCCAUUGAUGAGGAAGUGUAGUGUGGAGACAAACAAUUUUGAUUUGGCUGCAUUUAUUUAAACACUUGCUUUAUUAUACCUCCCUCACUGAUUCAAUAGUUGCUAAUGUAAAUUUGUACUAGCUCUGCAGGACAGAUGUGUUCAAUUUUUCCUAUAUGGUAUGGAAUAAAGAUCAUGCUGUUAGUGUUACAUGCAUGCAAAUGGUAAUUCACAAUGAUGUAAAGGCUACUGAAAUUCAAUUAUGGGUUGUCCAGAACUACCAACAUUUCCUGAAGUGUACAAACUAUAUGCUUCAGGUAGGCGGGUUCAUAACCAAUAUUCAUCGGUUAAGUCGCUGUGGGAGGGGGUUGAAAAGUGUACUCUCUGUACACCUGUGAUAAUUAUGGAUGAUUUACAGUGUAACACUAAUGCUAGAUUUAACUGAAAAUAAUUUUAUAGUUAUGUUGAAUAUAUUUUAAAUGUUCCAUUUGUGGCAUCCAUUCUUGGUGGUCAGUGGCAUCCAUUCUUGUGGAAAAUUCAAGUAGCUGUGCUCCAGCAGUUGGCUGCAGUGGCACAAAUUAUUGACAUAACCAAAAUUUUAAUAUUGCAUAGGAUCUUAGAUUCGUUUUUAUUAUUUCCUGGUGUCCUAUGAGCCCAGCAAGAACUGCUUAUUUUAUUAUUAUAAUUUUUAAACAUGUAACAAUUAAGCUAUACAAACAGCAAUCGUUCUGUGCCUCUAUUUCUGCUAUAAAAAUGCAUAUUCAUCUGAGACUGAUAUUAAACUGUCACAUGAAGCAGACAAGAGGUUUUCGUACUAGUUAAACAAGUGGUAGUAUUUGAGAGGAACUAAACGUCACAAACGCAAAUGGUUCUGUGGUUUGUUUGAUCAUACAGUGUGUGUAUAUAUUCAUACCUUCGAUAACGAUGUGAGCAUAAGCUGUCUCAACUUUGAAGUACCAAAAUGAUGUCUUGUGCCUGAUAUUAGGCUGAAAGUUGGAAAAUAUUUGCCAGAAACGAGCUUCGCGCCUUGGCGAAGCAUGCAUUUUACUACAAACAAAUUAUUGUUGUGAAAAUCCUUGUAAAUCAUGCAACCAAUCGUAGGGCUCAUUACAAGAAUUAUUUAGCGGUAAACCAAUCAUAUUCAUUAUAACAACAUCCUCAAAGCACAUUCAAGGUCAAAUGUAUAAACCAAUCACAACGCAGUUUAGAACAGCCUUUACCAGGGUCUUCUCAUUUUUCACGCGCCAUGCACGAAGAAGACCCUGGGGACGAGGUUGGGCGUGGAUUACACUUACUGCCAAAAUGGCGGCCAAU